rnacentral:rRNA from 1 species
AUUAACGCUAGCGGCAGGCAUAAUACAUGCAAGUUGAACGGCAGCACAGGUAGCAAUACUGGGUGGCGAGUGGCGCACGGGUGCGUAACACGUAUGCAACCUACCCUAUACAGGCGAAUAACCUUUAGAAAUGAGAGCUAAUACGCCGUAGUAUUACAGAUGGGCACCUAUUUGUAAUUAAAGAUUUAUCGGUAUAGGAUGGGCAUGCGUCCCAUUAGUUAGUUGGUAAGGUAACGGCUUACCAAGACGAUGAUGG